CCUACGGGUGGCAGCAGUGAGGAAUAUUGGUCAAUGGACGAGAGUCUGAACCAGCCAAGCAGCGUGAAGGAUGACUGCUCUAUGGGUUGUAAACUUCUUUUGUAUGAGAAUAAACCGUUCUACGUGUGUGAUUCUGUAUGUACCAUACGAAUAAGGAUCGGCUAACUCCGUGCCAGCAGCCGCGGUAAUACGGAGGAUCCGAGCGUUAUCCGGAUUUAUUGGGUUUAAAGGGAGCGUAGGUGGAUUGUUAAGUUAGUGGUGAAAGUUCGGGGCUCAACCGUGAAAUUGCAGUUGAAACUGGCAGUCUAGAGUAUAGUGGCGGUAGGCGGAAUGCAUGGUGUAGCGGUGAAAUGCUUAGAGAUCACACAGAACACCGAUUGCGAAGGCAGCUUACCAAUCUACAGCUGACGCUGAGGCACGAAAGUGUGGGGAUCAAACAGGAUUAGAUACCCCAGUAGUC
rnacentral:rRNA from 1 species